rnacentral:lncRNA from 1 species
AUGGGGCUCAAAGACCAGCACGGGUCAGGCCCCAUGUGCAGAUGGGUGGUGACUUCGGGCUCGGGCCACACACACACACACACACACACACACGCACGAGGUGAGCCCCAGCCCCGUGCCCCACAGGCCUCGGGGCCCCGCGACAGCAUGGGGCCGGGGCGGGUGAGCCAGGUCCAGCAGCAGUGCCAUGUGGCACGGGAACUCGACCACCCGGCCGUGCUGGAGGGAAUCACGAGGCCGUGUGACCGCAGGAAUUCCAGGCUGGUGCUGGGAGAGGUUUCGUGGUAUGAAAACACCGUCUCCACCUUGUCUCUAGAAAAUGCCGAAACAAGCCCCCUAAGAGACCUCACCGCUCACAACGAGGCCGGAACCACGGGGACACAGCGGCAGCAGAGGGCUGACAGGGACAGCACACGGGGGGGGGUGCUGUCAGGACAUCCCCAGGGAUGGAAUGCGUCUAUGCUCCAGUCCUCUCUGGUCACUCCCCUAAGAACCUCGGGGAUGCCCUCCUCACAAGAGUGGCUGGCCUGCACUGACCCACAGGACAGGCAUCCACUGCUCCAUGUGACUCAGUGUCCGCAGUGCUGGAGGCCAGUUACUGCUGAGCACUCUUCUGUGUGUGUGUUUAUACAAACGAAAUCUCUGUUCUUGACGGAGGCACCGGGUCUUGGAAAGGGGAAACCAGGUGGGAAAAGGGGAUGUGGCCACCUCCCAUCUGCAACCUAAUUCUCCAGCCCGUCCAAGUGGGAGCUGGGUGAGGAUUUCACCCCUGACUACUCCAUUCGGACUACCCCGAAGAAAGCCAGUCCCGUUCCGCUCUGGGGUGACAAGUGGCUCCCCUCCCCCAACCAGAGGUUAAUCUGUCCUAAACAGGCACCGGGAAAAUCAUCACCGUAAAGGCCUCUGGCCGCUGGCCAGGUUCCCAGCUUCUCAAGAGGCUGCCAGCUUCAAGGCUGUCCUUCCGGGCAUGCCCAGAGGUGGUGCCCUCAUUUCUCCGCACGCAGGCAGAGGGCUGGGCAGGGCACCCAGCCACAGAAAGAUCUAGCCUCCAACUCUUGGCUCAGGUGUGGCUGCAGUCUCCCUCCCACAGGCCUCAGGGAGCCACUGCCCCCAACGCAUAGCUGAGCGGAGAAGAAGGGGCAGCUCCCUGGCCCACCCAAGCUGGCCCCUCCCCAGCUGCACCCACCCCAGAGGAGACCCCAGGCCCUUCAGGCUGGAAGUUGACCGGGAACUGCAAGAUGGCCCCCUAAACAUGGGCUCAAAGUGGGGCACCAGGCACUGACAUGGCGACCAAACCGGCGCACCUCCCCCGGCCCCCCUCCCCCGUUCAGGAGUGUCCUCAAGCUGGCUUGCUCCCCUACAGCCCCAGAAUCAGGGGCCCCAGUGUUGUCUCGAGCACCUGCCAGGGUCCUGAUUUCUGACCCCUUUCAAAACGCAAAGGGGAAAAGAAGUGACUUUGACAAACUGAAUGGGGUCCACACCGCUUGACUUACUAUGGUGGAACAGACUAGCUCCGAGGAGUGAGUGCAGCCUGCAGUCUGCUCGGUGGGGGAUGCUUGUCCCCAGGCUGCUGGCUGAGGGCCACCAGGGAAGGAAGCGCUGCCCUCCCCACCAGCUGGGCGCCCUGAUUUUAUGCACGUUUAGAAAACGAGUAAACAAUUUCAAAGGGCAGCACGAAGCGUGCCAUAAAGCCAAGCGCCCCUAAAACCGCCUGAAUGAGCAGCAGCGAGGGAGGAGCCCUGCAUCCGCAGCGGCAACACGCGGCCAGCAAAUGCGCCCGGCAGAGUCGGAGCUCGGCGCCCGCAAGCACGCAGCCCUCGUCCGCAGUCCGCGCUCAGCCUCGCCCUGGAAGCCCACCCACGGCAGCUCCACACGCCGGCGCGUCCAGGCCGGGGAACGGGGACAACAGCCUGGCCACUGGGGCCCAGCGGGGGCGAGGCCACGCGAUCGCCAGGAGGCCGGCCCGGCCCCGGCAGGAUGAACGCGGGCCGGGACGCAGUGGCCCAGCCCGCGAGGGGUCGACGGUCCACCGGGCCU